rnacentral:rRNA from 1 species
GACGAACGCUGGCGGCGUGCUUAACACAUGCAAGUCGAACGGUGAAGCGAGUGCUUGCACUCGUGGAUCAGUGGCGAACGGGUGAGUAACACGUGAGUAACCUGCCCAUCACUCUGGGAUAAGCACUGGAAACGGUGUCUAAUACUGGAUACGACCAACCCUUGCAUGGGGUGUUGGUGGAAAGAUUUAUCGGUGAUGGAUGGACUCGCGGCCUAUCAGCUUGUUGGCGGGGUAAUGGCCCACCAAGGCGACGACGGGUAGCCGGCCUGAGAGGGUGACCGGCCACACUGGGACUGAGACACGGCCCAGACUCCUACGGGAGGCAGCAGUGGGGAAUAUUGCACAAUGGGCGAAAGCCUGAUGCAGCGACGCCGCGUGAGGGAUUACGGCCUUCGGGUUGUAAACCUCUUUCAGCAGGGAAGAAGCGAAAGUGACGGUACCUGCAGAGGAAGCACCGGCUAACUACGUG